rnacentral:rRNA from 1 species
GAGUUUGAUCUUGGCUCAGGAUGAACGCUAGCGGCAGGCUUAACACAUGCAAGUCGAGGGGCAGCACGGGUAGCAAUACCUGGUGGCGACCGGCAAACGGGUGCGGAACACGUACGCAAUUUACCUUUAUCUGGGAGAUAGCCCGGAGAAAUCCGGAUUAAUACCCCAUAACAUAUACAUAAGGCAUCUUAUGAAUAUUAAAGCUCAGGCGGAUAGAGAUGAGCGUGCGUCCCAUUAGCUAGUUGGCAGGGUAAAGGCCUACCAAGGCGACGAUGGGUAGCUGGUGUGAGAGCACGACCAGCCACACGGGCACUGAGACACGGGCCCGACUCCUACGGGAGGCAGCAGUAGGGAAUCUUCCGCAAUGGACGAAAGUCUGACGGAGCAACGCCGCGUGAACGAAGAAGGCCUUCGGUC